rnacentral:rRNA from 1 species
AUUGAACGCUGGCGGCAUGCCUUACACAUGCAAGUCGAACGGCAGCACGGGAGCAAUCCUGGUGGCGAGUGGCGAACGGGUGAGUAAUAUAUCGGAACGUGCCCAGUCGUGGGGGAUAACGCAGCGAAAGCUGUGCUAAUACCGCAUACGAUCUACGGAUGAAAGCGGGGGAUCGCAAGACCUCGCGCGAUUGGAGCGGCCGAUAUCAGAUUAGCUAGUUGGUGAGGUAAAGGCUCACCAAGGCGACGAUCUGUAGCUGGUCUGAGAGGACGACCAGCCACACUGGAACUGAGACACGGUCCAGAGUCCUACGGGAGUCAGCAGUGGGGAAUUUUGGACAAUGGGCGCAAGCCUGAUCCAGCAAUGCCGCGUGCAGGAUGAAGGCCUUCGGGUUGUAAACUGCUUUUGUACGGAACGAAACGGCGAGCUCUAAUACAGUUUGCUAAUGACGGUACCGUAAGAAUAAGCACCGGCUAACUACGUGCCAGCCGCCGCCGUAAGAC